CGAGAAGCGAACCUGCGAAGGCAAGCGGAUCUCUUAAAGCCGUUCUCAGUUCGGACUGUAGGCUGCAACUCGCCUACACGAAGCUGGAAUCGCUAGUAAUCGCGGAUCAGCACGCCGCGGUGAAUACGUUCCCGGGCCUUGUACACACCGCCCGUCACACCAUGAGAGUCUGUAACACCCAAAGCCGGUGGGAUAACCUUUAUAGGAGUCAGCCGUCUAAGGUAGGACAGAUGAUUAGGGUGAAGUCGUAACAAGGUACC
rnacentral:rRNA from 1 species